GACGAACGCUGGCGGCGUGCUUAACACAUGCAAGUCGAACGAGAGGACAAGAGAAGCUUGCUUCUUUUGGAAUCGAGUGGCAAACGGGUGAGUAACACGUAAACAACCUGCCUUCAGGAUGGGGGACAACAGACGGAAACGACUGCUAAUACCGAAUACGCUUGGGAGACCGCAUGAUCUUCCAAGGAAAGGGUGGCCUCUACUUGUAAGCUAUCGCCUGAAGAGGGGUUUGCGUCUGAUUAGGCAGUUGGUGAGGUAACGGCCCACCAAACCUACGAUCAGUAGCCGGUCUGAGAGGAUGAACGGCCACACUGGAACUGAGACACGGUCCAGACUCCUACGGGAGGCAGCAGUGGGGAAUCUUCCGCAAUGGGCGAAAGCCUGACGGAGCAACGCCGCGUGAGUGAAGAAGUAUUUCGGUAUGUAAAGCUCUAUCAGCAGGAAGAAAAUGACGGUACCUGACUAAGAAGCCCCGGCUAACUACGUGCCAGCAGCCGC
rnacentral:rRNA from 1 species